rnacentral:rRNA from 1 species
CGGAGGAACAUGUGGUUAAUUCGAUGAUACGCGAGGAACCUUACCCGGGCUUGAAAUGCAGAAGACCGACGAAGAAAUUCGUUUUCCAGCAAUGGCUUCUGUGUAGGUGCUGCAUGGUUGUCGUCAGCUCGUGCCGUGAGGUGUCGGCUUAAGUGCCAUAACGAGCGCAACCCUUAUCGUUAGUUGCCAGCGGGUUAAGCCGGGAACUCUAGCGAGACUGCCACCGUAAGGUGUGAGGAAGGUGGGGAUGACGUCAAAUCAUCAUGCCCCUUAUGACCUGGGCUACACACGUGCUACAAUGGGCGGUACAAAGGGUCGCGAACCCGCGAGGGGGAGCCAACCCCAAAAAGCCGCUCUCAGUUCGGAUUGCAGGCUGCAACUCGCCUGCAUGAAGCCGGAAUCGCUAGUAAUCGCGGAUCAGCAUGCCGCGGUGAAUACGUUCCCGGGCCUU